AUUGAACGCUGGCGGCAGGCCUAACACAUGCAAGUCGAGCGGAGCGGCGGACGGGUGAGUAAUGCCUAGGAAUCUGCCUGGUAGUGGGGGAUAACGUCCGGAAACGGGCGCUAAUACCGCAUACUAUCAGAUGAGCCAAGGUCGGAUUAGCUAGUUGGUGGGUUAAAGACCUACCAAGGCGACGAUCCGUAACUGGUCUGAGAGGUGGAUCAGUCAAAAUGGAAAGGAGAACCGGUCAAGACUCCUACGUGAGGCAGCAGUGGGGAAUAUUGGACAAUGGGCGAAAGCCUGAUGCAGACAGGCGGGGUGUGUGAAGAAGGUCUUCGGAUUGUAAAGCACUUUAAGUUGGGAGGCGUUACCAACAGAAUAAGCACCGGCUAACUUCGUGCCAGCAGCAGCGGUAAUAC
rnacentral:rRNA from 1 species